rnacentral:lncRNA from 1 species
CCGGGGUCAGAUGCGUCCGGCGGAGCGACGGAGGGAGCGAACGAAAGCAGAUUUCCAACGGACUCUUUUUAAAGGCAGCGACUGUCAGAGGUUUGCUGGGCUGCUCUAGGAACCGUGAUUAAUUAGAACGAGGAACAGCUCUUGAGCAGGAAUAAUGUUAUUAGAAAGUCUAAUUGUUGAUUGUUCUGUAUGCCAAACAAUACGUGCGUGUCAAACCCAUUUAUCACAGUGACUUCUGUGCAACAGAAGAGGAACUUGCCUCAUCUGUCAGCCCACAGGGCCAGUCCUGCUGGAGUAACCACAUGGCUGUGCAAUGUCACAGUUUCACAGCUCAGUGUCAUCCGUGCUGCUUUCGAGUUACACACAAAGCAUCCUGCUGUAUCCAGGAGAAGCAUUUCCUUCCCCUAGACAUAGAUGGAAGAGAAGAGGCCCUGUCCUCUUGCAAUAAGGCACAGCUGAACACAGGGUGCUGCUGGACUCAGUGAAGCACAGCUGCAGAGCUCUGCAGAUACAGCAGACUGGAAUGGGGCUAGGAGGUGCUGCCCUAUAUGGAGAUGCUGUACUUCAUGGAGGUGCUGCCCUGCACAGAGCUCAGCUGGGCUGCAUCAGCCUCAUCCUCUCCUUGGGAUGCCUUCCUCUCUGUGCACCAUUUUCUGAUCCAGGGGGGAAGCACCACAUUUGCAUGUGAAGUGCGAGAGCGCCUCAGCAAUUAAAUUAAAUUCUAAUUAUUGUAUAUCACAUAUUAGCAAUUUCUACCAUGCUAAUAUUAAUUGCUAACAAGAUGAUAAGAUGUAUCAGGUAGUCACAAUGGAGCACUGCCUUUGUUUGCCUGGCAGAUACGUGUGGCAGUGAAGCACUGGGAAUCUGGUGCAGAAUUUGCUGCAGAUGUAAAUGUCUGAUGGAAGAAGGUGAAGGUUUCCCCUGCCCCAGGGUGUUUGCAUGGCUUCCAUUGCAUGCAUGGAAAGCCCAGCUUAUGGGGCUGGCUCUGAACUCAGCCAGCAUUGCUGUGGUGACUUAAUGUCCGGUCUCACAGCGAGGUGAUGAUGUCCCAGGGGUUAUUUGUCUGUCUUCUGAAAAAAAAGCCCUGUGUGAGUCAGGCAGUCUGCAC